AGAGUUUGAUCAUGGCUCAGGACGAACGCUGGCGGCGCGCCUAACACAUGCAAGUCGAACGAGAGAGAGGAAGCUUGCUUCCUUAAUCGAGUGGCGAACGGGUGAGUAACGCGUGAGGAACCUACCUCAAAGAGGGGGACAACAGUUGGAAACGACUGCUAAUACCGCAUAAGCCCACAGCUCGGCAUCGAGCAGAGGGAAAAGGAGUGAUCCGCUUUGAGAUGGCCUCGCGUCCGAUUAGCUUGUUGGCGGGGUAACGGCCCACCAAGGCGACGAUCAGUAGGGGUUCUGAGAGGAAGGUCCCCCACAUUGGAACUGAGACACGGUCCAAACUCCUACGGGAGGCAGCAGUGAGGAAUAUUGGUCAAUGGACGGGAGUCUGAACCAGCCAAGUAGCGUGCAGGACGACGGCCCUAUGGGUUGUAAACUGCUUUUAUAGGGGGAUAAAGUGUGCCACGUGUGGCAUAUUGCAGGUACCCUAUGAAUAAGGACCGGCUAAUUCCGUGCCAGCAGCCGCGGUAAUACGGAAGGUCCGGGCGUUAUCCGGAUUUAUUGGGUUUAAAGGGAGCGUAGGCCGUCUUAUAAGCGUGUUGUGAAAUGUCGGGGCUCAACCUGGGCAUUGCAGCGCGAACUGUGAGACUUGAGUGCGCAGGAAGUAGGCGGAAUUCGUCGUGUAGCGGUGAAAUGCUUAGAUAUGACGAAGAACUCCGAUUGCGAAGGCAGCCUGCUGUAGCGCAACUGACGCUGAAGCUCGAAAGCGUGGGUAUCGAACAGGAUUAGAUACCCUGGUAGUCCACGCGGUAAACGAUGGAUGCUCGCUGUUUGCGUCUGACGUAAGCGGCCAAGCGAAAGCGUUAAGCAUCCCACCUGGGGAGUACGCCGGCAACGGUGAAACUCAAAGGAAUUGACGGGGGCCCGCACAAGCGGAGGAACAUGUGGUUUAAUUCGAUGAUACGCGAGGAACCUUACCCGGGCUUGAACUGUAGGCGAACGAUUCAGAGAUGAUGAGGCCCUUCGGGGCGCCUAUGGAGGUGCUGCAUGGUUGUCGUCAGCUCGUGCCGUGAGGUGUCGGCUUAAGUGCCAUAACGAGCGCAACCCUUGUUCGUAGUUGCCAUCGGGUUAUGCCGGGCACUCUGCGAAGACUGCCUCCGUAAGGAGUGAGGAAGGUGGGGAUGACGUCAAAUCAGCACGGCCCUUACGUCCGGGGCUACACACGUGUUACAAUGGCAUGUACAGAAAGCUGGGUGUAUGCAAAUACGCUCGAAUCCCUAAAACAUGUCUCAGUUCGGACUGGGGUCUGCAACCCGACCCCACGAAGCUGGAUUCGCUAGUAAUCGCGCAUCAGCCAUGGCGCGGUGAAUACGUUCCCGGGCCUUGUACACACCGCCCGU
rnacentral:rRNA from 1 species